UACGGAGGAUCCGAGCGUUACCCGGAUUUAUUGGGUUUAAAGGGUGCGUAGGCGGUUUGAUAAGUUAGAGGUGAAAUGUCGGGGCUCAACCCCGAAACUGCCUCCAAUACUGUUGGACUAGAGAAUAGUUGCGGUAGGCGGAAUGUAUGGUGUAGCGGUGAAAUGCUUAGAGAUCAUACAGAACACCGAUUGCGAAGGCAGCUUACCAAACUAUAUCUGACGUUGAGGCACGAAAGCGUGGGUAGCAAACAGG
rnacentral:rRNA from 1 species